CCUACGGGUGGCAGCAGUGGGGAAUAUUGGACAAUGGCGGGAACCCUGAUCCAGCGACGCCGCGUGAGGGAAGAAGUAUUUAGGUGUGUAAAGCUCUAUCAGCAGGGAAGAAAGAAAUGACGGUACCUGACUGAGAAGCCCCGGCUAACUACGUGCCAGCAGCCGCGGUAAUACGUAGGUGGCAAGCAUUAUCCGGAUUUACUGGGGGGAAGGGGGGCUUGGACGGCGAUGCAAGUCUGAAGUGAAAGUCGGGGGCCCAACCCCCGGACUGCUUUGGAAACUGUAUGGCUGGAGUGCAGGAGAGGUAAGUGGAAUUCCUAGUGUAGCGGUGAAAUGCGUAGAUAUGAGGAGGAACACCAGUGGCGAAGGCGGCUUACUGGACUGUAACUGACGUUGAGGCUCGAAAGCGUGGGGAGCAAACAGGAUUAGAUACCCUAGUAGUC
rnacentral:rRNA from 1 species